CAAGAAAUUAGACUAUGUUAUCGAGACGUGAGGAAGGGGUCCGGGAAGGACUCAAUCCCGGUGCCCGUAGCCUUUCUCUAGCCUGCCCUGCGUGGGGCCCUAUUCACCGUGGGCUUCCAUCUCAACGAGGCAGCCGACAGCCGUGGGAAGAUAUACCUGUCUGGACAGAUAAUUGAAGUGUUGCAUAUACUUGCAGCAAUCACUCCAGCCAGAUCUAGGCGUUUCCUGGAGUUAUAUUGGCAUCGUACUCCUCGCCCUGGUUACGAGCACCUGUCCUUCCCCUGGCAGCCGGAUUGCUGGGACUUCCGACGGAAUGAGGUCAAACGAGCAGAACCCUUGCAUGCAUCCAUGCGCCAGAAGAUGUCUCGCCUGCAAGCUGACGGAACUACGUCACUUCGCUUCCGUCCCCGUCCCUUUGGCACCGCUUUUGAGAUGGAGCCAGAAAUGGUGUCAGAAACUCGAGUUACGAGCACCGGAAGUGCGCUUUGCCGUUUAGUGGAUGCAAUGAGUCAUGACGCUUUUGAUUCCGGAGUCACUACUUAACGCGUCCAUUGUAUGCGCAUUGUAUGCGCAUAUCAGAAGCAGCAAAUCGGUACCUUUGAAGACGGUCCUCGAUUGGAACCUCCACCCAAGUUGCUCCACGAGACCAGUUUCGCGCGUCAUAAAUCGACCUCAAUGCGAGGUGCCCACGAGCAAAGAAAAUCCUCUAUGUUUUCCUCGAGUACCUCGAGGUAGCGCCGGACUGUUUCCUUGAACGAGUCGGGUUCAGUGGAUGCUAUAACGGUCGACAAGUCGUUCCGGGAAUUCGUCGACUUAGUUUGUAUUGCAAAUUAUAGGAUAGGACAAUGCUUGCCCACAUCACGCUUCAGAAAUAGUACUGCCCUCGCCCUAAAAGCGAAGAACAGGCUCUUACUGCUUCGUCUCCCUCCCCAGCUAACAUUAAAGAGCGCGGAUACGAAGAGAGACAGCAACAGCUGUUUCGGCCUUUUUCGGCCUCUUCAGCAAGUUUUACGACGGCAAAGAACACGCUAAGGACCUAUAUUAUGCUUAUUUUCUGCGUGUGUAAUUGCUCUGGGCAUUUUUUCUUGUGCAGCGCUGUGUAGUGUGCCAGAGUGGGUUCAGUGCAGAAACGAACGAAGAGCGCGCAGAAAACCCGCCGCACGUUGCACUGAAGGAACCAGUGUAACAUCCGCACUCAAGUCAGUGUAUAAGAUUCUCUGCAUACAACGACCAGUGGAUCUCGCCAUAACAUUCGGCAUUUUCGAACUGGUAUGAAAGGCCCCUGGAGACGAGAUUAUAGCUGGGAUGAUGGAUGUGCUUGUGGAUCUCCUCGCUGCAGGAAUCAGAGGAGGAUGAGGAGGAAAAGGAAGAAGUGGAUGAGGUGUAUUUGACUGAUUUACCUGUAUUUAUAUUAAGGCUGUAUUUGACAGUAUGCUACGAGUAGGUGCCUUAUGCAAAAUUUCACCCAGCAGCAUCCUAGUUCUUGAGAUAAACGAGUAAAACGAACAGCACGUUCACAUCCGGUU